UGGGGCACCUGGCAUUGGCCACUGUCGGGAGACAGGAUACUGGGCUGGAUGGACCUUUGGUCUGACCCGGUACGGCCUUUCUUAUGUUCUUCUGCUAAUUCUUGGUCUGCUGCCUGGAGGCUGUGAUGGUGGCUGCACUCGGAAUUCACAGACCGACCGACCGACAGGCAAGCCAAGCUCCCAGCAUUCUGGGGGAGUGAAAUGAACAGCAUUCCGCUGUGUGCGUCACCCUCCAGCUAAUUAGCUCAUUGAUGCUGUUGAGGAGCUUUUGGAAGAACCUGAGCAGAAAAGCAGACUGUAUUGCAGAGAUAGCAAUGCAAACAGCUGCCUGUCUAACCUACGGGGACCCACCACUCCUGCAGAGAGACUGAGCAGGCGUAGGCAGCCAUUCUGCACCUGGCUCCAUCAGCAAAUCCCCCCCUCUCUUGCAGUGAGAGAAAUUGUGUCUCCAGCGUCCUCACUCUGCUCCCCCAAAGAGCCUCGCCCUGCUCCUGAUGGGAAGCCGCUGUCUAGAAUCAAGAGUGUUUAUUGACCCUCCAGGAGCCGUUGAGGGAAAGGUUAGGGCCGUCAGAGCUGUUACAGUUUCCAGGAAACUGGAAAAGCCACCAGAGUGCGAGAUGAUCGGGGUAAGUAACGACAUGCCUCUGGUAAACGUAGCGCGCAGUGCUCGGGCCGUUCCCCCGGAGAUCACUGGGGGCAUACAGAGGAGAGAGUUCAGCAUCCUCACACUGCAACCUGCAGCCCAGAGAGGGGAAGCAACUCCCACAAGGCCAGACAGCGAGUCUGGGACAGAGCUGGUCACAGUCCAUGGCUCUUGACUCCCUCAGCCUCAUCUGCUGGCCCAUGCUAUGUGGCAAACGGCGGCUUCCAAGUUCUCGCCGGUUGUUCCCAGAUAGUGGUUAGCACAUUCAGCUGCUGUCCUCUGACGUUUUCCACUCAUCACUAAGCAGAACUAGUGGCUCAUGGCACAGGAAUUGUUAAUGACUCAAGCUGCACUUGGCUUUACACAGACGUGUGUUUUUGCUUUGCCCUGUCUCACUGCUGUAGCAGAGCGAUGCUGGUGAGCUCCACUUCAUCCAGAUGUUCAUUUCAGGGAGAAGACACCAAGCCCUUCGGAGAAGAACACAUCCCUUUAACCAUGGCAACUGGCGAGGUUCUAAUCCCACCUCCGCCAGGGGAAGCACGCGUCCCGAACAGAACGAUCCACCCUGACUUAUCCCCCAUUGAAUCAGCCAAUUGCAGCUUCAUUUCUGGUCAGGAGUCACUCACCUCUGACUUGAAAUCCCUUCAGACUGCACACAAAUUAGGCAUUAAAAAUACUCAUUACAGUCAACAUGACACACCGUCAUUAUUUCAAAAUAAUUGUUGAAAAGGCUCAGUUAGCUACACAGACUUCACUUUGGUGCAGAAAGGUGACCAGAAAACCCCCAACAACCUCACCCCAGGAAGUGCAAUCAAUGCUUGUAAUCCUUUUAAAUAUAAAAGGUAGUUGCUUGUAGCUGCCAACAUCUUAAAAAAGCUAUGAUUUCCCUGGAGAGAGCCCUUAUCAGCUAGGGCUGCAUGUCAUUCUGGCUGUUUGUCAAUCCAUCAGACUUCAGUGCCACUGACAGUAAGAAGCCAGGCGUUAAGAUUAUCACAUUUAGCCGUAAUGUAGCACAGAUUGUGUUGACAUUUGGAAUAUAUUCCACCUCAGGAGCCAUUUGACUUCUACACUUUCUCCCCAAAGAAAAAAAUGCUUUGAAAUAUUUCAGAAAGAAACCAUUGUUCUGCGGGAAGCCGGGUGGAUGUGCUGCCCCGUUCCGUUGUCCCAUGAACCACAGCACGACGGGAGGCGACUGGCCAGGCAGGCUAUGGUGACCAGCACCUGGGAUGGAAAGCACGAAACGCUCUGGCGUAGGCUCUCGUAAAGCACAAAGAAGGAAUUUCUAGAGGGAAGUUGGCCGUGGAGUCUUUGGACACUGGAUUUACACGGUGUAACUGCAGCGGCAUUGCACUGAAAAACAAGGUCAUCCUCAAUGCAUGGCCUGGGGAGACGCGCCCAGUAAUAUGCCCCCGGCCUCCCUCCUGUGUGGUGAAGACAGUGAGCAUGGUGCUCACACCAACAUGAAGGCUAUCGAAGCAUUGGAUCUCAAGGCAUCAUUGGCCAAGGAGCUGCAGAGCUCGCGCCAGGAGAAAGAGCUGUACAGAGAGAGAUCCAUCCCAGGCCAUGCUUUGGAGGGGGAACCUGGCCAGAGCCCAUGGAAAGGAAUGGUGGUAAAUGACCUGAAAUUAAGUGAUUAAUCUCUUUAAAUAAGUGUGAAACCAUCUUCCAGAAAAAGUUAAUCUAGUCCCAGUGGCUCUAGUGCCUUUCCUGGGCUCCAAUCAAUAUGUGGUCGCUUGCUUUUCAUUUGCAAUUCACAGUAAUUGCAAAGGAGCAUUUUCUGAAGAAAAUGACAUUCUAGAAGCAGAGAUGCUAAGAGACAGACUAGGAUCAAUUCGAUUUAAAUCCCAGAGCAGCGAGUGCUGUCAAAUGUGCAGGAGAGAUGGAGACAUUCCAGGAGUCAUGGGCUCUGUAUGCUGGAUUCCCCUACUCAGAGUGGCAGGAAUGAUCAAAGCCUGGACUGACAUCAUGUAUCUCCUGCCUGUUCAUUCGGAGGCCUGUGCUGCCUCCAGAUGGAGCUGGGAGGGGAGAUACGUUCUGCUGAGCCUUCGUCAGCAGAAGCUGGGAGGAAGAUGGAUCACAAAAUUAUAAGGUUAGGAAAGAGGAAUAAGAUGGACCCAAUGCCACGUGUUUCCUGCAGGCGCAGCAAUGAACCUUGCUCUGAUCCACAGGCUGCCCAGAACCGGCGCACUCCAGAGCCUGCCGCAAGCUGCCCAAGUUGAAUAAGAAGCUGUCAGGCAGGGUAGGGAAGAAAUCCUUCUGUGGAGCCUGGGAAGGUACUGAAGCAUAAGGCACCGGCCUCCCCAGGCUGGGCAGGAGGAUAACGGCCGGGGGGUCUCUCUCUGCCAGCAUCACCGGGUUCCCAGGUUGGUCAUUUCGGAGCCCACGCGUCCCAGCUCGUCACAGCACACGGCUGGGCCCAGCGACGCCUCAAGCAUUGCAGAGACGCCCCUCACCGCAGACUCAGCACCGUCUCCAUCCAGAGGAAGCAAAGUCUCCUCCCCUCACUCAGCCCAAGCUGUUUUCCUGCUUACUCAGCGAAACCUCUGCACUCCUGUAUUCGGAAUUUUAAGCCUGUUCCCGAAGGACACCUGCUGCCUGCCCACAACAGCAUAACAGCCGCCUUGCCCAGCAAUCACGGGCCGGCCCCUGCCCGCUCCGUGGGCCCAGAGAACACCCAGCGCGCCUCCGAGGACUGAAAAGAGCAGGAGGAAGUUGCCUCAGGAAGGCAAAGGUGGCUCCUGGCUGGACCAGGACCGUGGGGCCGUGUGCGAUGACGCAGGGUUCUGCCCGGGUGCCCCGCUGGUCCUGGGGAGCCAGUGCGUGGCGCUGGGAAACGUCCCUCAGCCAGGAGCAUGUGAAGUCAAGGCUGUUGAGCGUGGGUCUCUCCGCGGCCUCGCUGGAGCGGUGCCCGGCAGAGAAGGAGAAGUUUUGUGAAGGGGAAGGCUUCUGGCUGGCUGGCUGGCUGCAGCACGGCUGAUUGCAUUGCCAGGCUGCGGAGCCAGCUGCCCUGACACUAAAUAGCCCUGUCAGGACUUCUACAAGGCGAGGCCACAAGUGUUUUGCGAGUGCCGGCACACCGGCGAGAUAAGGUUUCACCUCCCUGGCUCUGGCUGGAAAUUAGGGGCAGGCAGCAGGCGGGAGCAAAUGGAGAUAAAUGAGCGUGCCGCGUGGCUCGCCGCCCACAGGACGCUGACAUCAAAAAUAAGUAAAUAAAAAAUCACCAGCCUUUUAUCUGGGCACAGCUGUGGACGGACUCUGUGAUAACCGUAAAGGAUGAGAGCAUGGCACGUGCCGUAAUGGGCUCAGAAAGUGACCUGCCAUCCCUCAUCUCCGGUGCAGGAAGGGCCGCAGCCACACUCCCAUUCGGCUGCGAAAAGCAGAGCGCGUGAACGUGAGUCACUUCUGCCAGCUGCCUUUCUCCCUGUGCACCGUCCGGUCAGGGAACGCCCCGGCUGCAGUUUCUGCUCUCGCCAUACGGACGUUGUGUAACAGGGUCUGGGCUGUCCCCACCUCUGUCUCCCUUUGAGCAGUCCUGGAGCCCCCCGAGAGAGGCCUGGUGUUCACGCAGCCUCUCCGGUGACACUAACGCUGCAGCUCCUGCGCAGUGUGUGGCCGUCGGGCUGCGUGACGCAGGAGUGCUGUAGUGGACGGAGAGGGCUUCACACUCGGCACCUGGACACUCCCACCUGCCCUUAUCUGCCCUGGGCUUCAGGCAGUGCAGUGCCUGUGGUGGGUGCUAGUGACCGCCGGCAUUCAGAGCCCCAUGGCGUCUAGGCCUGCGCUGAGCAGGGGAGCCGCGGCGCUGAGCUGGUGCCAGUGCAGUGCUGGGACUGGCACAGCCCCGAGCCUUGAGCGGGGCAAAGGAGCAGCGCGUUCUCCUGCUCUGCCCGCGGUGCGCGAGGAGGCCCCGCACAGGCUACGGGCUGGCGUCACUGGCUUCUGGCAGUUCCAUGCUACGUGUAAGGACGCCGAGCAGGCUGUUCUGUGCUGAGCAGCUCGUGUUUGCGCUGCAACGUGCAGACAAUAGGAUCUGGCCCUUGGGAGCCCACAGCCCCACAAGUGGCCACGUGUAGGUUGAGGGGGUCCAAAUUCUCAUUAUGGGGGCCCGCAUUUGACCCCUCUGACAGCUACACUCACUUCUUGCCCUUCCCCCUUCAUGACCCCCGUGUCAAUCACAGGCCACCCAAAGCUUGGGGCGCACCCAGUGCCUGCUGACAGCACUGGCUGGGACACUCCAGCAGGGAUGCCAUGGUGCCCCUGCCCCAUAUGAUCCCAGGGGAUACACUUCUAGGCUCCAGCCCCACGCAGAGCAGCCAGGCGCCAAGCCCCACAGCUUCCAGUGACAGCCCCAUGGGAGAGGGAUGAGGUGUGGAGCUGGCGCCUGCGACCUCCAGGAAAAGGCAUUUCCUGCUGUCCCAUCAGAUGUGCUGGGUGGGUCUAAGGCAGGU